GACGAACGCUGGCGGCGUGCUUAACACAUGCAAGUCGAACGGAAAGGCCCUGCUUUUGUGGGGUGCUCGAGUGGCGAACGGGUGAGUAACACGUGAGUAACCUGCCCUUGACUUUGGGAUAACUUCAGGAAACUGGGGCUAAUACCGGAUAGGAGCUCCUGCUGCAUGGUGGGGGUUGGAAAGUUUCGGCGGUUGGGGAUGGACUCGCGGCUUAUCAGCUUGUUGGUGGGGUAGUGGCUUACCAAGGCUUUGACGGGUAGCCGGCCUGAGAGGGUGGCCGGCCACAUUGGGACUGAGAUACGGCCCAGACUCCUACGGGAGGCAGCAGUGGGGAAUAUUGCACAAUGGGCGGAAGCCUGAUGCAGCAACGCCGCGUGCGGGAUGACGGCCUUCGGGUUGUAAACCGCUUUCGCCUGUGACGAAGCGUGAGUGACGGUGAUGGGUAAAGAAGCACCGGCUAACUACGUG
rnacentral:rRNA from 1 species